CAGACAGCAGACAGCUCUCCUUCCCCUAUCCAGCAAAAUGCAACUCGUCUAAUGCAGCAACAGGUUCAGUAUUGCCAGACUAACAGAGUGAAAAAGGAGAAGACGUAUUUGGUUUCUACCAGCAGGAAUCAAAAGGAAUAUAAAGGACCAUGAAGGCUCUUUUCUAAAAAACAACCUGAGAGCUAAAUUUAAAAGGAAAACAAAUCUUUUGGCUUAAGUGAAAAAUGAGACCGGGCACAGUGGCUCACACCGUAAUCCCAGCACUUUGGGAGGCCAAGGCAGGCGGAUCACAAGGUCAGGAGUUCGAGACCAGACUGGCCAACAUGGGGAAACCCCCUCUACUAAAAAUACAAAAAUUAGCUGGGGGUGGUGGUGCAUGCCUCUAGUCCCAGCUGCUCAGGAGGCUCAGGCAGGAGAAUCGCUUGAACCCAGGAGGUGGAGGCUGCAGUGAGCCAAGAUCACACCACUGCACUCUAGCCUCGGCAACAGAGCAAGACUCCAUCUCAAAUUAAAAAAAAAAAAAAGGUGAAGAAGAAGAAGAAGAAUGUAUAACAUCUCAAAACUUUUCCCAUAUCUGUACAUUUUACUAGAUUCAAAGCACAAUAAGUAGUACAUUGUUAGUACUUACUGGAAUUCAAGAUAUACUUUCCCUAGUUGGGACUGGAGACAAUAAGGUCUGAAGAAAUCAUUGUAAUUGACUACCAUACUAUGGAAGUUAUAAAGUUAUUUAAUUAAAUUGCUUCAUGUGUUGAUAUGUCAUGGGGCAAUUUGGUUCUGUAGAAAGAUCCUAAAGUGGAAGUUAAAAACUGGUUCUGUCCCAAAUUGAUCUAUAGAUUCAAUUCAAUCCCAAUCAAAAUCCCAGAAAGUUAUUUUGUGGAUAUGAACUAAAUGAUUCUAAAAUUUAUAUGGAGAGGCAAAAGACUCAAAAUAACCAACAUAAUAUUGAAAGAGAAGAACAAAGUUGGACAAAUGAAACUACCAGACUUCAGGACUUACUAUAAAGCUACAGUAAUCAAGAAUGCAUGAUGCUGGCAAAAGAAUAGACACAGCAGAUCAGUGCAACAAAAUAGACAGCCCAGGAGAAGGCCCACAUAUGUAUAGUCAACUGAUCUUUGACUUAAAAGGAAAAGCAAUACAAUGGAGCAAAGACAGUAUUUCCAACAAGUGGUGACGGAACGACUGGACGUCUACAUGCAAAAAAAUAAAUCCAGACGCAGACUUUACACUCUUCACAUAAAUUAACUCAAAAUGGAUGGAUCAUAAACCUAAAUGUAAAAUGCAAAAUUCUAAGACUCCUAAAUAGGAAAAAAUCUGGAUAAUUCUGGGUUUCACAAUGACUAUUUUAGAUACAACACCAAAGACAUAAUCCAUGAAAGAAAUAAUUGAUAAGCUGGAUUUAAUUCAAAUUAAAAAGUUCUACUCUGCAAAAGACACUGUAAAGGUAAUGAAAAGACAAGCCACAGACUGGAAGAAAAUAUUUGCAAAAGAUAUAUCUCAUAAAGGACUGUUAUCUAAAACAUGCAAAGAAUUCUUAAAACUCAACAGUAAGAAAAUAUUAUAACCUGAUUAAAAAUGGGCAGAAGACUUUAACAGUCACCUCACCAAAGAAGAUAUACAGAUGGCAAAUAAGCGUAUGAAAGGGGCUCCAUAUUAUAUGUCAUUGGGGAAAUGCACAUUAAAAAUAACAACGACAUACCACUACACAUGUAACAGAAUGGCCCAAACUCACAGCACUGACAACACCAAAUGAUGAUGAGGAUGUGGAGCAACAGGAACUCUCAUUCAUUGUUGGUAGGAAUGAAAAAUCGUACAGCCACUUUGGAAGACAGUUUGGCAGUUUCUUACAAAACUAAACACAUAUACAAUCCAGCAAUUGCAGUGGUUGGUAUUUAUGCAAAGGAAUUGAAAACUUAUGCCCACACAAAAACCUACACACAGAUGUUUACAGUAAUUUUAUUCAUAAUUGCCAAUAUUUGGAAGAAAUUAAUAUGCCCAUUAGUAGAUGAAUGGAUAAAUUAUGGUACAUCCAGGCAGUGAAAUAUUAUUUAGUGCUAAAAUGAAAUGAGAUAUCAAGCCAUGAAAAGACAUGUAGGAAACUUAAAUGCAUAUUACUAAGCAAAAGAAGCCAAUCUGAAAAGAUUGCCUUCUAUCCACUGUACGUAUCUAUACACUGUAUGAUUCCAACUAUAUGACAUUCUGAAAAGGCAAAACCAUGGAGACAGCAAAAACUCAUUGUUUGCAAGAGUUUAGGGUAGAGAGAGGGAUGAACAGGAAGAACACAGGAUUUUCAAGGCAGUGAAACUACUUUGUAUAAUACAAUAGUGACAGAUAGAUGUCAUACAUUUGUUCAGACCCACAGAAGGCACAACACCAAGAGUGAACCUUAAUGUAAACUAUGGGCCUGGAGUAAUAAUAAUAUGUCAAAGUUGGCUUAUCAUAUGUAACAAAUAUAUGACUCUGGUGGGGGAUAUUGAUGAUGGGGAGGCUGUGCAUGUGUGAAGGCAGGGGGUAUAUGAGAAAUCUCUGUACCUCCCCAUCAAUUUUACUAUGAAACUAAAAUUACUCAAAAAAAAGUCUAUUAAACAAUAAAUUAAAAGAAAAUUGGUUCUGGUCCCAGCAUUGCCACAAAUAGCUUGCAUACCCUCGUCAAGUCAUGCAACCAUCCUGAGUUUCAGUUUCUUCCUAUGCUAAAAAUAACAAAUUUAAAAGGAUGGAAUUGAACAGCGUAUCAUAAUAAUAGUUAUUAUAGCCAAUGCUUAAGUGCUUACUAUGUGUCUGUUCUAAGUACUUUUUAUUUCUUAACUCUUUAAAGCCUAACAAUUACGCUAUAAUGUAGGAAUUAUUUUUAGUCUCAUUUUCCAGAUGAAGAAAAAGAGAGAUUAAGUGACUUGCCUGAGAUCACAUAGCAUAAUAAUGAUAGGAUUUGAACCCAGCCUGUCUAGCUUAGAGUUUAUGUGUUUAAUCCCUACACUAUACUGUUUUACCCAAUACCUAAAGAUAGUUAAGGCCCCAUCCAGCCAUGACUCUGCGGUUGUGAGUCAAAUCUAGUAAGUCCUGAUGAUUUCUUACCCUAUCUUGCUUACUAACACAGAAUAGUGAAAAUUUGCUGUUCAAUACCCAUAGCUCUCAAUACAUUCAAUUUAAUGGUACCCAGCAACUCCAUCUAAAGUACAUACUCUAUCAUGCAUUCUUAAAGGUUGCAUAGUUCAAGAUUCAAAUAUCUAAUAGUAAUGCAAAUAAUUGUUUAAAGAACUAAAUAAUAAACACAAUAAAAUAUUUCCUAUUUUCUAUAGCCUGAGAAAGGAAUUAAAAAAGCAAGAAUUCAAUUGUAAA